CCUACGGGUGGCAGCAGUGGGGAAUAUUGGACAAUGGGCGAAAGCCUGAUCCAGCAAUGCCGCGUGAGUGAUGAAGGCCUAGGGUUGUAAAGCUCUUUUACCCGGGAGACAGUACCGGGAGAAUAAGCCCCGGCUAACUCCGUGCCAGCAGCCGCGGUAAUACGGAGGGGGCUAGCGUUGUUCGGAAUUACUGGGCGUAAAGCGCACGUAGGCGGUUUGUAAGUCAGAGGUGAAAGCCCGGAGCUUAACUCCGGAAUUGCCUUUGAGACUGCAUCCUUGAAUCCAGGAGAGGUAGUGGAAUUCCGAGUGUAGAGGUGAAAUUCGUAGAUAUUCGGAAGAACACCAGUGGCGAAGGCGGCUCACUGGACUGGAUUGACGCUGAGGUGCGAAAGCGUGGGGAGCAAACAGGAUUAGAUACCCUUGUAGUC
rnacentral:rRNA from 1 species